AUAAAGAAAGUUACCUCCACUUUCUUCUCUUCCACUUUGGGUUUCUCCUCCUCUGCUUUCUUCUCCGCCGGCUGCGACGGUGGAGGAAUUGGAGAAACAAGCACAACUUGACGGUGGGUCUUUCUUUGAACUCUGGCUAAUACUUUCAAUGGAUCAGCUUUCUCUCCCUUCACCACCACUUUCCCCGUUUUACAAUCAGUCAUGACAUCUUCCACUCCUAAAUAAAUUAAGUGCAUUUAACAUUUAGACCAAAAAAAGAAAAAAAAAAAUUAAGUGCAUAGAUUAAACCAAGAACCCAAGAUUCAGUUCAUAUAUUUAUAUUUACCAAAAACAGAGUUUUCUAGUUUGGGUGUUUUAUAUUUGGUUAAAGGAAUAACCUAGACUUUCUGUGGUCCUACACACAAAAUAUAUAACGAAUAUUAACUAUACAAAUACUCAAAAUUAACCAAAAAUGUGUAGUUGAUGAAAUAAACUUUUGGAGUUUAAGAAACUAUUAUAUGAAAAACUAAAAUGUACAUACCAAAAGUAUUUCAGAUGUAGGAAUACUAAGAAUAUGUGUGUGUGUGUGUAGAUUACCUUCGAAGCCUUUGAGGCAACGGCGGACUUUUCUAGCGCAGCCUUCACAGUGCAUGUAGACUUUAAGGAUAAUUUCUUGCGGUGGAGGAGGCGGUGCUGGAGCCUCAGGCUUCGCCGGAGGUGAAUCUUCUUUGGAAUCUUUAGUAGGUUCUCCUUCUUGAGUUUUCUUCUCAGAUUCUUCUCCUUUUUUCUCAUCAGCCUCCACUUUCUUUCCUUCUCCUUCUUUUUUCUCUUCCUCUGGUUUCUUUUCCUCCAUUUUCUUAUCCUCUGCUGCUUCUGGUUUCUUCUCCUCCUGUAACAAAAAGGCAGUUUAUAAAAAUUAGUAUUAUUUUAGAGUUUUGAGAAGAUGAUAUAAAAGCUUGAGAUGUCUUUCAACCUCUCCCAUAUUUGUUUGUUUUGGUUAAGUUUCGUGUGUUUCUAUGUUCACAAAAAAAUUUCACCUAAGUAUUAAUAAUUCAUCGAUAAACUAUGAACAACGUUCUUUUUAUGGUGAGAACUGUAUAAAUGGGUUACUUCUAGGUAGUACUAUUAAAGUUAUUUAUAAAAUCUAUGAAUAAGGUUCUGUUUAUAUGAACUCUACUGUUCUUCCACAAGUUUCCAACUACAGUAUAAACUCUAUAAGUUAAUUUAUAAAUUAAUUAAAAAAUUCCAGUUCCAACUUCAAAAUAUGACAAAAAAUCAUAAAUUAAUAAAAUAACAAGAUGAUAUUUAAAAAAAACUUUAUGUAAAUAUAUGGUUUCAUUAAAAUUAUAAAUUAAUAAUCUAUCUAUAUGUACAUUUUACAUAAGUACAAACUAAACAUGGUAUUUAGUUUUAUAUCCACAAUGAAAUUAUCUCUAUUUUUAAAAGUUUCAAUAUAUUUUGUAAUAUUAGUAAAAUUAUAUCAAAAACCACAUUUAAAUUCUAUGAAACAUAAAAAUAUAAUAAUAAAAUAAAACAAUAUGAAAGUCUAAUUUCUAAAAUUUAGUUAAUAUAUAUAUGUAAAUGAACUAUUUUUUAUUUUAUAAAUAAAAUAUUUUAAAAUAGAAAAAUUUUUAAAAUGUAAAUUAAUCAUUCUAUAAAUUAAUAAAAUAUUAUAGUUCUAACAUUAUUAAUUUAUAGAGUUUUUACUGUAGUUUACUUUUGGGGGUUGAAUAAUGCGAUGGAUGAUUUUUGGUAAAUGAACAAAGCUAUUUACACAGAACAUAUGCAUUUAGUGCAGUUGGUGCAAAGCAAACUCUGCAGUUGUAAGAUUAAAUAGUAACUUGGUAAACAAGGAAGCAUUUUAGCGUUUGCAGUUUUUUGUAAACUGCAGUUGUAGUUAACACCUACAGUGACUUGUAAAGGGUGGGAUGAUCAUAUCAAAUUUGGUGCAUGUCAGAAAUAAAAGCAUAUUUAUUACCAUUACUUUAAACGAUUAGUCUAUGUAUUAUGAAUUAAAAUGAAUUAAUAGAUAUAAACUAUUGUAAUUUAUUUAUUUGAUCGCUUAUAGCAUUUGAAAUAACUCGUAAUUGGCGAGUUCUUUUCAAUGUAAAUUACACAAGAAAUAGAGCUGCACAAAACAUAGUAAAGGAAAACCACAUGCAAAGAGAGACAUCAAGUUACAACUUCAUCAAAAUUGUUCAAAAUACUCUCCAUAUAAACCCUUUAGCGUUUGCAGUUUUUUUUUGUUACAUUAUGGAACAUGAGUUUGGAUUCUCGUCGCUGAAUAGUUGAGGCGGAUAAGCAUGAGGCGGCAUUUCCAUAGGCGGAACCGCCACACGCGGUAGUUGGUAAUUAUAAUAGUAGUAAUAAGGAUUCUCUAUCUUCCUCACAUCCACAACUUUUCCCUCCUCCUCACCACCGCCGCCACCGUUUUUAUUUUCAGCUGCUUCGCCUUCCCCUUCUUUCUUUUCGUCCUUGCCUUCUUCCCCUUUGGACUCUCCUCCGCCCUUGUCCCCUUUACCUUCGUCUUUCUUAUCUGCUUCAGCUGCCGCAGCUGCUUCCUCAGGUGGCGGUGGAGGCGGUGGGUCAAUUUUCAUAAUGGCAGCAUGUUUUCCAGUCCGUUUAUAAAUGUGUUCAACGAGCUUUUGCGGUUCAAACAUUCCUUUUACUGUCACUUGAGAACCCUUUAAAUCUGAUUCAGCAGAUUCCACUCCUAAAAGUUACAUGUUUCAAAACAAACAAAAAAAAUCAUCAAGAAAAUAAUAAUAAUAGUACUAUCAAAGUGAAGGGGUAAAUACACUUUGACCCCACCACACAAAUGCUUUCAAUAAAUAAGAUGAGUCAGAUGAGUAUGAAUAAAUAAAUAACACGUGUAUAUGUUUUAAAGGACGCAAUAUCAUCUUGAUUUGAAUUUGUAUGGACCAAAAUUGAUACAACGAGAGAUAAUACAAAGUUGGUGACAGAAGUAAACAAGUGGAGGUUUUUGCAAGACAUUGGAAACGUUUUAUCUACCGAUAACAAACUAGACAGCCAAAAAUAAGUUAAAAUCUAAAAAAAAAUAUUUCUGAUUACAUUUAUAAAAUUUCCUAAUAAAGUCUGAAAUGUUGCUCUCCCGGAGAAAGAGUAAAGUUGAGAAAAAUAGACCACGCUUAAUGCGAUAUGAAUGUUUAUAUAAAUAAUCCAAUAUAUUAUUAAAUAUAAUAUUAUUAUGUCAAAGAAUUUGUAUAAUUAUUUACCAAAAAAAAAGAAGAAACUGUACAAGUAAAAAAGCUAACCUUUCAUUCUCAUGAUCCGUUUCUUGAUCUCCGAUGCACAAGCUUCGCAGUGCAUGUGAACCUUGAGGACCACCGUUACCACUACGGGAGGCUGAUACAUAAAAAAAUCGCCAGAAAAUGUUAAUACAGCCACUUCUUCUUCUUUUUUUCCUUUGAUCAAAGGAGACAGAGUCCAAAUUCUAUAUACAAAAAUAUAGUUUUAUAUCCUGUUCGGAACGCGCUAAGCGCUAGUCGGGCGGUCGGGUUGGGCCUAGCGCUUAAAGAGAAAAUCGGGGAUUAAUCAGAAAUUAUGCGGAACGGAAUUUUUAGAUGGUUUACUAUGUUAUAAAACAUGUUAAUCUUUAAUUGUGUAUAAUAUUAAUACAUUUUUAUGUUUAAAAUUGUAUAUAACACACAAAUAUAAUAUAUAAACUUAAUGUAGUGUAAUUUUCAUCAAAAUUAUGAAUAUAAAUGAUAUUUAUAAAAUUUUAGAUCAAAUAAACAAAUAAAAAUAUUAUUAAAAAAAUAAAAAUAAAAAAAAAAUAAAAAAAUAAUAAAAAAUAGAUUAGGCCGACUAGGCGGAAAAAAAUCGGAUAUCCGAUUUUUUAAACCGAUUUGACAUAAAUCGGAACGGAAAAGUGAUGCAUAGCGCCUAAAACUAUAUAAAACCAGCAACUAAAAAUAUACCAAUCGUAGUAUCCUACCAAUACAUCCCAUGUGAAAUCACUUCAAAAAGAGAAUAUAUCCAAUUGAAAAAUAAAUUAAUUAAAGUUUACCUUAAAUAAAAUAAUAACAAAAAAAACAAAUGAAUAUUCAUUUUAUUAUCCUACAACCCUUAAAAUUACCUCUUAUUUCUUGCUUUUUUUUCCUUUGCUAUCAAAUUCACUAAGCAGAAAAUAUCACAAUAAAGAAAGUUACCUCCACUUUCUUCUCUUCCACUUUGGGUUUCUCCUCCUCUGCUUUCUUCUCCGCCGGCUGCGACGGUGGAGGAAUUGGAGAAACAAGCACAACUUGACGGUGGGUCUUUCUUUGAACUCUGGCUAAUACUUUCAAUGGAUCAGCUUUCUCUCCCUUCACCACCACUUUCCCCGUUUUACAAUCAGUCAUGACAUCUUCCACUCCUAAAUAAAUUAAGUGCAUUUAACAUUUAGACCAAAAAAAGAAAAAAAAAAAUUAAGUGCAUAGAUUAAACCAAGAACCCAAGAUUCAGUUCAUAUAUUUAUAUUUACCAAAAACAGAGUUUUCUAGUUUGGGUGUUUUAUAUUUGGUUAAAGGAAUAACCUAGACUUUCUGUGGUCCUACACACAAAAUAUAUAACGAAUAUUAACUAUACAAAUACUCAAAAUUAACCAAAAAUGUGUAGUUGAUGAAAUAAACUUUUGGAGUUUAAGAAACUAUUAUAUGAAAAACUAAAAUGUACAUACCAAAAGUAUUUCAGAUGUAGGAAUACUAAGAAUAUGUGUGUGUGUGUGUAGAUUACCUUCGAAGCCUUUGAGGCAACGGCGGACUUUUCUAGCGCAGCCUUCACAGUGCAUGUAGACUUUAAGGAUAAUUUCUUGCGGUGGAGGAGGCGGUGCUGGAGCCUCAGGCUUCGCCGGAGGUGAAUCUUCUUUGGAAUCUUUAGUAGGUUCUCCUUCUUGAGUUUUCUUCUCAGAUUCUUCUCCUUUUUUCUCAUCAGCCUCCACUUUCUUUCCUUCUCCUUCUUUUUUCUCUUCCUCUGGUUUCUUUUCCUCCAUUUUCUUAUCCUCUGCUGCUUCUGGUUUCUUCUCCUCCUGUAACAAAAAGGCAGUUUAUAAAAAUUAGUAUUAUUUUAGAGUUUUGAGAAGAUGAUAUAAAAGCUUGAGAUGUCUUUCAAC
rnacentral:lncRNA from 1 species